AUGCAGCCCGACUUGAACGGAGCUCAUUUUUUGCAGCGGGAAAAGCCUAGGCAAAAAAUAGCGGGAGUGGAAGGCGGAUUAAGC
rnacentral:sRNA from 1 species